UCCUCUGCCGUGGUCUUCAUAUUUGUGAGC
rnacentral:piRNA from 1 species